UUCAAAGAGGCGUCGCUUGGGCGCUCGCCCGAGCCCAGGUGCUGGGCGCUUCGAGCUGUUAGGAUCGGAGCGGCACUAAGAGGGGGGGGUGAAUUAGUGCAGCGGAUUAAAACUUGUAAGUUUGAAACCGAAUUCGUAAAUACGAGGAGAUUUCGUUUCGAUAGUAACUUGAGUAGAUGAAAACCGAAAACUAGCAGUAGUGUAAAUAACAAUUUCAGGAAAGUAAGAACUCACACAUUCAAGGAACACACCAAUUUAAAGUGGUUCGGUCAAAAUGACCUACAUCCACUUGCGAAGCCUUCUUCGAAGAGGCUCCCAACUUCCACUAGCAAAUCACUUUGAAGGGGAAGGACAAAUACCCCUCUUACAACCUUUUACAAGUGGUUCACACUCUUACAAAUUUUCAAAGAGAAAGAGGGAGGUGAACACUCAAGCUAUUGAAAACAAAAACUUGCUAAAGGCUUUGCUAAGACUUUUAUCUCAAUCUUUUGCUUCUUAAAGGUUGUAAGCUCAGCUGAGAAUUGAGGGGUAUUUAUAGGCCUCAAGAGGAUUCAAAUUUGGGCUCCAAAUUUUGAAUUCUCUUGGGUUUCCGAGGUUGGCGAUGCCACCGCCUGUCUGUGUCUGACACAGACAGUGUACUGACGGUGCCACCGCCGGACCUCUCGAGUGCUGGGCGGUGCCACCGCCCAGUCCGGCGGUACCACUGCCCGAUCCUCGGGUUCUGGGCAGUGCCACCGCCCAGUCUGACAGUGCCACCGCAUGGACUGUUCCAGCUCACUGGUUGGGCUCCAAACUUGUCCCAAACCAGUCCGAUGUCAGGCCCAAUUGGCCCUUAAUCAGGAUAUAGGAUUAUCCCUUAAUCCUAACCCUAAUUACAUACUACGUAACUAAAAACAUAAUCCUAAGCAAGUUUUUAAUCGGCAAAUGUCGAGUCUUGUUCCGGCGAGCUUUCCGGCGAUCUUCAGGCGGACUUCCGAUACGCCCUCGGAUUUCUUUCGGUGGACUCCCAACAGGCUCCCGAUCUUGUGACGAAUUCGACGAGUAGCCGAGCCUUCUCGGUGAUCUCCGCGAACCUCUGACGAUCUCUUCGGCGGACUUCCGAAAGUUCUGACAAGUCUCCGAUUUCUUCUUGGUUGGUUCCGGCAGCAUUUCCGACGAAUCUUCGGACUCUUAAACGUCCAUCGAACUUGACUCCGGUAUCCUUGCUUUAUUUUUCAGGCUAUCGUAGUUAAUCCUGUACACUUAACUUCAAUAAUAUGGAUUAGAUCAAUUAACCCAUCAAUUGAUUUCAUCAUCAAAAUUCGAGAUUCAACAAUCUCUCCAUUUUUUAUGAUGACAAUCAAUUGAUGACGGAGUUAAACAUAAUUCCCCCUAUCUAUAUGCCAUAUUAUGAGAAGAUAAAAACACUUGAAUUCCAUCCCUUUGAAUUCAAGCAUAAACCGAUAAGUUCUAACCGUUGAACUUAUCGUUAUUCUCAUUAAGCAUGAGCAAAUACGAAACUUUGUAUUUCUCAUAUUUUCCAGCUAUUAAAAUCAUUUUCAAGUCGAAUGAUAAGAGAAUUUUCACUACGGUGAUAGAUAAAAAUUUUCAACAUGAAUUUUAUGAUAUAAAUGUGAGGCAUGAUUUCAUAUGAUCAACCAAUCUGAGAACUUACGAUAUACUCAAAGAUUUUGCAAAGCAUAUAAGACAUUUGUAUUACACAAGCUUUUGCAAUUCAUAUAAGUCAUGCUAUCGAUGUGCAUAAGAUAUUUUCGUUAAGUCAUGCUAUCGAAAUGGUACAAGUCAUCACUUCUCCCCUUUUGUCAUCAACAAAAAGGAGAUGAGACUCGAAGCACACAACUGUGAUCAUAAAAUCAUUAGAAAAAGAAUUCAGCAUUAAGAUUAAUCAUACAAAAUUCAUUCAAAAUUAAUCUCGCUAAAAAUGUUUAUCCAGAAUUCAUCUAAAAAAUUCAGCAUUCAUCCAGAACAAAUCAGCAUUUAUCCAGAAUUUUAAAAUACAUCUCAAAAGAAGGUUCAGUUUUCAUUCAAAAGAAGAUGACAAACUUCUAACUUGACAUUAAGAGAAAUUAGAACAGAAUAAGAAGGUACAUCGAUUAAUCCUUAGGAGGUAAUCCAUAGUGUUGAUACAUGACAUUUAUUUUUUGAUUCAUUUGUCGUAGUUCUUUCAAAAUUUCAAUUUGCUGGAUUUGAAUUUGUUCUUGCUGCGAUUUGAGUUGGUCUUGCUGUGAUUUGAUCUGAUACAAUUUUGCCAUAAUGAGUUCUUCAGAGGAUGAAAUAGGAGCUGAAGGUGCUGCGCCAAAGGGACUAAGAGGAGGAGAUUCAUUUCCCCUAAGAAUUGGUGUUUCGGGAUGUUCUACUAGUGGGAGAAUUGGAUCAGUCCUUCUAGGUUGCCUAACCCAUAUGCCAUUACUAAAUGUGCACCUAUGUCUUUUCAGUAGAUUUCUAUUGAUGAUGAAUUGUUUCUUCAUCGGGUGGGAUACAAAUGUCAUGGGCAAGUAGAAGUCGAGUAAUUAACCCCCUAUAUGGCAACAUAGUGUCUCUAGCUAUAAUAUCCUGCAUGUGUUGCCGGAUUGAGUAUCCAAAACAGUUAUGCUAACCGGUCAUAAUCCAAUACAUGGUGCUUAUCUCUAUUUGACUCAUUUCAUCAAGAUGAAAUUGCUUAGGGAAUAGUAUGCUUGUUAUGAUAUGAUGAAGAAUUUUAGAGUUAAAGGGCAGUAAGUGCUCGCAACUCUUGGGUAUUAUGCGGAGGUCCGGAUUUGCAAAAAUUGUUUCGACGACUUCGGAGUAAGUUGCUCCGAUUAUAUUGACAUCCCAUUUAUCUCUAAAAUAACAGUCCCUAUUUUUUUCAGUGAUUCCAAUUAGUUCACAAAUAGUACUAUCAAAAAUUCUAAUUUGUGUUCCUAGUAGGUAAGUACUUAGGCUAUCGUUAUCCACACAUAAGUUUGCAUAAAAUAACCUAACUAACCUAGGAUAAAUUGGUUCAUUUAUUUGUAGGAGAGGUAGGGCAUCUAGAUGUGCAAACCACCUAAUGGGUUCUAGGUUUCCUAGUUCAUUGAGAUUAACGUGUUUACCCUUAUGGAUACAUCUUGUUUCGAAAUUUGGAAACCUAAGAGCUACUUCUUUGGAUCUAAAAAGAUCUUGGUCAUAUGAAUCUCCUUCAACCCUUUUCCCUUUUUGAUCUCUUAGGAGUUAUUAUCUAGACAAGAUGAUAGAUGAAACUGUAAAGAGUAGGUAAACUAAUGAGAAGAGAGGGAAGAUGGAGAGCUUGGAGAAUUUUACCUUAUGGAGAAUUUAUCUUAUGGAGAAUUUCUUGGAAGAUGGAGAGCUUGGACCAACAAGAAUUCCUCUCCAAGGCUUCUAAAGGUUGGAAUGAGAGUUUAGAGAGGUUGUGGGAGAGCUUGAGCCGGUUUCUCAUGGGUUGGGGGCGGUGUCACCGUCGGCCCUAACCCUUCGGCUUAUAAAGGGGCUCUCGGGCGGUGCCACCGCCAAAACGAGCGGUGCCACCGCUGGCAUGCUGCGGAAGAGAAGAAAAAAAAAAAAAUCUUUCUUCCCCCCUUUUGUUUUUCAGAGGUGUUUGACUCAAGAUAGGUUAAGAUAUUGGGUUGUACUUUAAUAUGUCAUUUGGAAUCGAAAGAGAAGGAUGAAAUCAAAUCCAUAAAAGAACGGAAAAAGGAUGAGACAUUUUUCGGAAAAUGCAUUCAAAGAAGCUUAUUUUCAGGGACAAUUUAACAUGCUUAGUUCCCUUUGGCGGCAGCACCUUCAGCUUCUGUUUCAUCCUCUGAAGAACUCAUUAUGGCAGAAUUGUAUCAGAUCAAAUCACAGCAAGACCAACUCAAAUCGUAGCAAGAACAAAUUCAAAUCCAGCAAAUUGAAAUUUUGAAAGAACUACGACAAAUGAAUCAAAAAAUAAAUGUCAUGUAUCAGCACUAUGGAUUACCUCCUAAGGAUUAAUCGAUGUACCUUCUUAUUCUGUUCUGAUUUCUCUUAAUGUCAAGUUAGAAGUUUGUCAUCUUCUUUUGAACGAAAACUGAACCUUCUUUUGAGUUGUAUUUUAAAAUUUUGGAUAAAUGCUGAUUUGUUCUGGAUGAAUGCUGAAUUUUUUAGAUGAAUUCUGGAUAAAUAUUUUUAGCGAGAUUAAUUUUGAAUGAAUUUUGUACGAUUAAUCUUAAUGCUGAAUUCUUUUUCUAAUGACUUUAUGAUCACAGUUGUGUGCUUCGAGUCUCAUCUCCUUUUUGUUGAUGAUAAAGGGGGAGAAGUGAUGACUUGUACCAUUUCGAUAGCAUGACUUAAUGAAAAUGUCUUAUGCGCAUCGAUAGCAUUACUUAUAUGAAUUGCAAAAGCUUGUGUAAUACAAAUGUCUUAUAUGCCUUGCAAAAUCUUUGAGUAUAUCGUAAGUUCUUAGAUUGGUUGAUCAUAUGAAAUCAUGCCUCACAUUUAUAUCAUGAAAUUCAUGUUGAAAAUUUUUAAUUUUUCAAUGAUGCUAAAAAGAAAAACAUGAUAUAAUUUUUGAAAAACAAUUUUUUUUUAUUUCCUAUUCCUACUAUCUAAAUUAAGCACUCAUGAAAAACUUCAAGUAAUUUCAAAAUAAUUCAAGAGAGUUAAGUUACUUACCUUGUAGUCGAAACCCAUCAUAGCCCAAUUCGCUGUUUCACCUUUGGAAGUUCUUGGCCUCUUCCUCUUCUUUGGCCUCUUCCUCCGUUCAAGUUCAUUGUUUAUUUUAGAUUUUUGUUUAAUGAACUUAUUAAGAUUUAGUGUUCGAAGUUCAAGUUCAUCAUUGUCCUCAUCACUUGAGUCAUCGCUCAAGUGGUAUUCAUUUGUCCGGAGUUUCAAAUCCUUCCUAUUCUUUGGAAGGUGGUUUAAGUGCUCAUUGGGUUCAAAAUGUUCUAAAAGUGUCAUUUCAUAGGUCAUUAAUGACCCGAUUAAUUCUUCUAAUGGAAAAUCAUUUAAAUUUUUUAUCUCUUGUAUUGCGGUUAUUUUAGGAUCCCACCUUUUUGGGAGGGAUCUUAAGAUCUUGCUUACGAGAUCAAAAUUCGAAAAAGAUUUACCAAGAACUCUUAGAUUAUUGACGACAUCCGUGAAACGAGUGUACAUGUCGCCUAUAGUCUCGCUUGGUUGCAUUCGAAAAAGCUCAAAAUCAUGCAAUAAAAUGUUAACUUUCGAGUCUUUGACUCUACUAGUUCCCUCGUGCAUGAUUUCAAGUAUUCGCCAAAUAUCAAAAGCCGUUUUGCACGUAGAAAUCCGAUUGAACUCAUUUUUGUCCAAAGCGCAAAAUAAGGUAUUCAUAGCCUUUGCGUUUAAAGAAAAAUACUUCUUCUCCAAAUUCAACCAUUCGUUCAUCGGUUUAGAGGGAAGUUGAAAAUCGUUUUCAACAAUAUUCCAUAAAUCCAAAUUCAUAGAAAUCAAGAAAACUCUCAUUCGAGUUUUCCAAUAAGUGUAGUCCAAUCCGUUAAACAAAGGUAGACGAACAACCGAAAAGCCCUCUUGAAAGCCAUGAAGUGCCAUUUCUCUCGGGUGUAAAUACGAAAUGAGAAAUACUGGGCUCUGAUACCAAUUGUUAGGAUCGGAGCGGCACUAAGAGGGGGGGGUGAAUUAGUGCAGCGGAUUAAAACUUGUAAGUUUGAAACCGAAUUCGUAAAUACGAGGAGAUUUCAUUUCGAUAGUAACUUGAGUAGAUGAAAACCGAAAACUAGCAGUAGUGUAAAUAACAAUUUCAGGAAAGUAAGAACUCACACAUUCAAGGAACACACCAAUUUAAAGUGGUUCGGUCAAAAUGACCUACAUCCACUUGCGAAGCCUUCUUCGAAGAGGCUCCCAACUUCCACU
rnacentral:lncRNA from 1 species